rnacentral:lncRNA from 1 species
CAUAAAAAGCCUAUCAUCAACAACAACAACAAGACCAGGACGAGAAAGACUCACAGCUGAGUUCUAUAAGACCUUCAUAGAAGAGCUAAUAUCAAUACUCCUCAAAUUAUUCAAUGAAAUACAAAAAUAGGAAACCCUUCCAAACUUAUUCUAUGAGGCCAGUAUCACCCUGAUUCCAAAACCAGACAAAGACACAUCAAGAAAACAAAACUUCAGGCCAAUAUCUCUAAUGAACAUAGAUGCAAAAAUUCUCAAUGAAAUUCUGGCAAAUCAAAUACAAAACCAUAUUAAAAAGACAGUGCCCCACAGUCGAGUGAGAUUCAUCCCAAGGAUGCAAGGUUGGUUCAACAUACGGAAAUCAAUAGAUGUACUUCAGCACAUCAAUAAACUUAAAGGUAAGGAUCAUAUGAUUAUUUUAAUAGAUGCAGGAAAACUAUUAGACAAAAUACUGAACCCUUUCAUGUUCAAAACACUAUAAAAACCAGAGAUAAUAGGAAACUAUCUCAAAAAAAGGGCAUGGUGUUAGUACCAACAUGAUUUGUAGACCAAUGGUACAGAAUAGAGGACACAGAGUAAAACCCACAUAUAUACAAGUAUCUCAUACCAGACAAAGGUGCCAAAAACAUACAUUGGAGAAAAGAGCUUUUUCAACAAAUUGUGCUUGGAAAACUGAAAAUCUAUAUGCAGCAAAAUGAAACUAAACCCCUAUCUCUGACCAUGCACAAAACUCAACUCAGAGUGGAUCAAGGACCUAGGAAUUAGACCAGAAACCCUGUGUCUAAUAGAAAGAAAAGCAGGCCCAAAUCUUCAUCAUGUCAG